rnacentral:rRNA from 1 species
AGGAAUCUACCUAGUAGUAUAGGAUAGCCACUAGAAAUGGUGGGUAAUACUGUAUAAUCCCUGCGGGGGAAAGAUUUAUCGCUAUUAGAUGAGCCUAUGUCAGAUUAGCUAGUUGGUGGGGUAAUGGCCUACCAAGGCGGUGAUCUGUAGCUGGUCUGAGAGGAUGAUCAGCCACACUGGAACUGAGACACGGUCCAGACUCCUACGGGAGGCAGCAGUGGGGAAUAUUGGACAAUGGGCGCAAGCCUGAUCCAGCUAUGCCGCGUGAGUGAGGAAGGCCUUAGGGUUGUAAAACUCUUUCAGUAGGGAAGAUAAUGACGGUACCUACAGAAGAAGUCCCGGCAAACUCCGUGCCAGCAGCCGCGGUAAUACGGAGGGGGCAAGCGUUGUUCGGAAUUAUUGGGCGUAAAGGGCAUGUAGGCGGUUUGGUAAGUUAAAGGUGAAAUACCAGGGCUUAACCCUGGGGCUGCUUUUAAUU